GGGGUUGUGGAUCAGAGGUAGAGCACUUGCCUAGCAUGCAUGAGGCACUGGGUUCAAUCUUCAGCACCACA
rnacentral:tRNA from 1 species